AGUGGACGCUGGCGGUAGGCCUAACACAUGCAAGUCGAACGGCAGCACAGUAAGAGCUUGCUCUUACGGGUGGCGAGUGGCGGACGGGUGAGGAAUACAUCGGAAUCUACUUUUUCGUGGGGGAUAACGUAGGGAAACUUACGCUAAUACCGCAUACGACCUACGGGUGAAAGCAGGGGAUCUUCGGACCUUGCGCGAUUGAAUGAGCCGAUGUCGGAUUAGCUAGUUGGCGGGGUAAAGGCCCACCAAGGCGACGAUCCGUAGCUGGUCUGAGAGGAUGAUCAGCCACACUGGAACUGAGACACGGUCCAGACUCCUACGGGAGGCAGCAGUGGGGAAUAUUGGACAAUGGGCGCAAGCCUGAUCCAGCCAUACCGCGUGGGUGAAGAGGCCUUCGGGUUGUAAAGCCCUUUUGUUGGGAAAGAAAAGCAGCAGGUUAAUACCCCGCUGUUCUGACGGUACCCAAAGAAUAAGCACCGGCUAACUUCGUG
rnacentral:rRNA from 1 species